CAGUGGUGCGAUCUUGGCUCACUGCAACCUCUGCCUCCCAGAUUAAAGCAAUUCUCCUGCCUCAGCCUCCCUAGCAGCUGGGACUACAGGCACGCACCACCAUGCCCGGCUUAUUUAUUUAUUUAUUUAUAUUUUUAGCAGAGACGAGGUUUCCCUAUGUUGGCCAGGCUGGCCUUGAACUCCUGACCUUGUGAGCUUCCCACCUCAGCCUCCCAAAUUGCUGGGAUUACAGGCGUGAGCCACCGCACCCAGCCUGCCCUGCUUCUAAGCAGUCCAUCUCCCACUUCCUCGUGCCAAUAAGCUCCAAUCCAGAUAAACCUGAAGCCUUCCCUUUUUGUCACUGUAAAUUCUCUCACUCCUCUGCCUGCUUUGACCUUCUGCCAAAGUGAUGGAAGCUGACUCCCAUAGCAUAGCAAGCUCUGAGUAAAUAGCCCCUGUACUCAUUUAUUUCCACACCACUGAAUGAAUAAUGAAAGAUGUUAUAAAGCCAAAUUAUGAAAAGGGCAUCAGUUAUUAAACAUUUGUAAAAUGUUUUACAACCAUCUUAGUAUGCCUCAUAAACACCUCGUGAAGUGCUGCCAUCCCCGUUUCAGAGCUGAGAAAAUUGAGAAGGAACCAUGAGAUUAAGUGACUUGCCCAGAGCUAUGAUGAGAACAUGAGCCCCCCAGGGUUUGAGGUCUGUUGUUUAUCCACUGAGCUUGAGCUGCGCUUUGGAAUCAUUACCAUCUUAAAGCAUUUUACCCUGUGUUGGGUGAAUAUUAAGAAGUAGAUCACAUUUCAGCCUGGCAGGCGCGAAAGUAUUGUUUUUAGUUUGUUUUUCUAAAUUUUAGUAGAGGACAUAUGGGCUCUAUUAACUUUACUAUGUAGCACAAUUUGAAAGAUAGUUUCUUUUCCAGCAAAUUUUUCACCGUAAUUUAACAUUUUAAAAUUCAGCACACACCGUCCUCCCUGGAUACUUGUUUUUCUCAGAGUUGGGCCUUUUUCCUCUCCACUGCAGCUUGGAAGGUCGUAAAUCCAGCCAGGGGGAUUUUAUUAUGCCUGGGGACAGUUUUCAAAGUUAGGUAUGAGUGGAAGGAAGGGAGGGCGGGUGCAACAGCGCUGGACAAAGUCCGUCUAAUGCAAGACUUUCCUUUCUUUUUUUUUUGUUUUUAAAGAUAAGAACUUUUUUGGCUUUCUCCCCGCAAAGCUUGCUGAUGAUGUUGACUGAUGAGGACAUGAAAAAAGCUGAGAUUUGCAGAACAUAACUGGAGCAUAAGAACGCCUGUCUGGAAGGCAGGGGCUGCUGGGAAAGGAUCUCUCUGGAGCUCCUUGCUGGCUGCAAAAAUGCAGCUGUCCCUAUUCCUCUCUACUCUGGGACAUUUAAAAAGGAGGCUGUGUGGCAGUAGCAUUUGGCUUGUGUGCCACUGUACCUGGUCAGCCUGGCAUGGAAUGCCUUAGUGGUUUGUUAGGGGUCACUGACUGAGGCUAAAUAAAUUUAGCACCAUGUAUACUUUCAUUAAAUAUUAAACAAUGAGGCCAAGCACGGUGGCUCAUGCCUGUAAUCCCAGCACUUUGGGAGGCUGAGGUGGGAGGAUCGCUUGUGGCCAGGAGUUUGAGACCAGCCUGGGCGACAUAGCGAAACCCUGUCUCUACAAAAAAUUUAAAAAAUUAACUAGGCAUGGUGAUGCAUACCUGUAGUCCCAGCUACUUGGGAGGCUGAGGCAGGAGGAUCACUUGAACCCAGGAGGUCACGGCAGCAUUGAGCUCUGAUCAUAGCACUGCCUCUGGCCUGGGCAACAGAGCAAUACUCUGUCUCUAAAAGAGAAAAACAAACAAACAACAACAAAAAAAAACACAAAAAGACAAUAACAUUCAAUUGUUUGCUAAUGGUUCAUCUGCCCAAUCUCUGGAAUCCUGUCUUUCACCUACUCACCUUCACUCACUUAGAAACUUAUGCAUUGGCUUCAAAUACUAUUUCUUCUAUAUUAUCCUUUCACCUUUCUUCUUUAAAAAAAAAUUUAUUUAGAGACAGGGUCUUGCUAGGUUGCUCGGGCUGGCCUUGAACUCCUGGCCUUAAGUGAUCCUCCCACCUCUGCCUUCCAUCUUUUUAUCUUCUUCAGCUUAUGAAAAUGGAUCCAUCUGCAUUAAAGGCCUAAAAAUGUAUGUAGUCAGGUGAGUGUUGUGAUAGUUGGUGUGAUGGUUAAUACUGAGUGUCAACUUGAUUGGAUUGAGGGAUACAAAGUAUGAAUCCUGGGUGUGUCUGCGUGGCUAUUGCCAAAAGAGAUUAAUAUUGGAGUCAGUGGGCUGGGGAAGGCAGAUCCACCCUUCAUCUGGUGGGCACAAUGUAAUCAGCUGCCAGUGAAUAUAAGGCAGGCAGAAAAACACGAAAAGGAGAGAGACUGGCCUAGCCUCCCAGCCUACAUCUUUCUCCCAUGCUGGAUGCUUCCUGCCCUCAAACGUCGGACUCCAGGUUCUUCAGUUUUGGGACUUGGACUGGAUCUCCUUGCUCCUCAGCUUGCAGACAGCCUAUUGUGGGACCUUGUGAUUGUGGAGGUUAAUACUUAAUAAACUCCCCUUAUGUCUGUCUGUCUAUCUGUCUGUCUGUCUAUCUAUCUAUCUAUCUAUCUAUCUAUCAUAGGAUAUAUAUAUAUAUCUAUUUAUAUUAGUUCUGUCCCUCUAAGAGAACCCUGACUAACACAGUUGGUGAAGGUUUCCUUUUCUCCUCUGAUGAUGUGAGUGAAGCAGGCUUUCAGGGAUUAUGAGAACAGGCGAAGUCUUCAAGGAGAUGGGCCCCUCAAACACAGCCUGCACAUCCCAUCCAUCUCCCCAUUCUCCUGGAAGCCAUGCCUUGGAAGGCAGAGGGGAUGCUGGAGGGAUGCAGGUCUCAGGGCCUGAGAAGUUGAGGGUGGUUCUAGAUAGAGUAGAGAAUGAAUGGGAUAAGGGGCAGUAGAGGCCUGACCUCCGAGAGAUCUCACCACUCCUAACUUUGACUAUUCCUGUCUGGCUGCAUUUGGGUUUCCUUUUGUCCCAAGAAAAGAAAGACGAAAAACCUUAGAGUGUUGGGAGUCUAGAUAUGUUAAAACUAACAGAUGUUAGUUCAUUGAUCACCAAGACAAUGCACGGGCCAGUAGGACUUCUCACAGCAAAAAAGCCAGGAUGGAGAGGCGGAAGACCAGGUUGGGCAGAUCCUUCAGCUUUCAGCUGUUUUUCUCAUCCUUUAUAGCACUGUAAUUAGGACUAGAUGAGGAAAAAAAGAUGGGCAUGAGCUGUAGCUACAGGGGGAAAACAAUAAAUGACUAACAGAUAAAAAAAAUGUAAGUGAAGUGCUAAUAUUCCAGUCAUUUAAAAUAUUGCUGGGAAGACCAAUUAUCCGUGUAAAAAAGGUGAAAACAAAUAUAACAUUGCUUAGGUAAUUCUGUGGACCCUUG
rnacentral:lncRNA from 1 species